rnacentral:lncRNA from 1 species
ACUGUGAAAGAAAGGUAAAGAAAGAUAAGCCAGGCUGCCUUGAGUUAACAAGACAUGCGUUGAAGUUCAGUUCUACAAAAGCAAAGGAUCAAGGUUCUUUCGAUCCCGCUUAAAACCCACUGGCCACACCACAAAGGGACCAGCUGUGAUGUCAGUUUCCUCUUGGUAUGGGCAGUGCUGUGCUUGUGUUCUGCAGUUGAACACAUCUGGAUAGGGCAGCUCCUUUCUUCGACACGUUGUCAUUGUGCAAUGCAGAUAAAGGAACUGCUCGAACAGCCCAAAAUAUUGUCUUAGGUUGAACUUGAAUCUUAUGGCGACGGCGUCGCCCACGUGUGUGGGAAGAUAGUUGCUUUCAAGGGUGACCGGGCAGCUGAAAAUUCACGAAGGGCAAUAUUACCUGAUGUAUUUAUGCACCUGAAAACAGGCCGCAAACAAUCGCUCCUUGUCUAAUCAAAAAAAAAAAAAAUUUAUUUUUAUUUGGCUUUUAAUUCACAUUCAUUCGUCCAAGUUGAAUAAGAGUGCCUGGACUGGAGCAAGGGGAUUGGAGACGAGGCCUAGAUGGGGCUCCCCCUCUCAGUCCAGUUUUCCUUCGUUACUCAGAACAGGGACCUUAUUUACAAUAAAUAAGUGAAGAUAAGUAGGUAAAGUCCUUGUCAGUCCUAUUGUAAAUGAUGAAAGGAGUUUAGUCAUCGAUGCUGGCGCCCGUUUACUUUGCAUUCUUUUGCAUGAAGCGACUUAGCAUAUAACUAUUCCCUGAAGGAGAUUUUGUGUCAUCGCAGGUCACUUCCUCAAUCCCAUUCCCAAAAAUGCUUCGGUAACCAUAUUUAUUUGGGUGGGGAGAGGCACUGUGAGGGUAAUGUGCUGUUCAAGAGCACCACACAAGGUCUCAGACCGGGAUUUAAAUAAGGACCUAUCUAUCUGCGAUCCAACGGACCGAAACAAUUAAACCAUCGCGUAAGAUGGGACGUGGGGCAACGCCCUGUAUCGCUAGUGAGUGGCUUCACUUACUAACUGUUGAUCAAUAGAAACGCCAGCGACGGGCCGUGAUCUGUGCAGUUCUUGUACGGACUGAUAUGACACUCCUUGGGAACGACUACUCGGUCAUUGUCGGUAGCUGAAACAAGUUUAAUAAAACCACUAUUGAAACACCACAGUCACGGCAAAGUUAUCAAAAGAUAUGAAAAUAAACCAGCAGAUUAUAUCUUGAUCAUAGAGGGGAUGAAUUUGAAAGCCUUUUGGGUGAUUUUAAGGGUUUCUAUUAGGAAAAAUACCUUUCCUACCUUUUACCUCGACGUAAACGUUUGUAUUCAUGUCAAGAUGAAUGGGAUUAGCUGGAUAACCGUCGUACUUGAACGACUGGUUGAAUGAAGCGUUGCUGAAGAUUCCCAUCUGAACAUCUCCAUGGACUGCUUUGUUCUCUCCUAAAAAGGAAAUUAGUUGAGAUCAGAAGCAAAUAAUACUAUAAACAUCUGUUGAGACUAAUUAUUAAAUUAAACGACCUUGUGUUCGUUCGUGGAGACUCUUUUGACUGAAAUCCAACAUUUCAACGAAAUUUUGCAAAGUGACAGCUGUCAUUCACGCUCUAGUGACUCUCAGAUUCACAGAAAACCGGCUCAUUCGUGGACAAAUGUCGAUUACAAAUCAGAACAAAAUAAUUAGUAAAAUAAUUAAACCAAUUAAAACUUAUGCCAUUUCAACAAGACAAAACAUUUAAUUUGGCAAUGUAAAAAUUUAGCUAAGUUUCAAGUAAAAUAGCAUUAAGCCUACCGUUAAAUGGAAAAAAAAAUGCGAGGAUCAUUUUAGCUUAAUGGUUUAUAAUGCGCCAUCUUUCGUUGUGUUAGUUGAGGAAGCUCUUCAAUGAAAAUGCAAGUUCUUUAGUGAUUAGUUUCGAGCCAGGCAGCGAUAUGGUUUAGCCCAGGGAUACAGUGUUUCACUACCCCAGGGUGAUUCCGUACAGCGAAAUAAGGCAGAAUUUCGCUUUAUCUUCAUUCGCUGAUACGCAGAUGACACAAAUGAUAAAUUCAUCAUGUUCAUUUUUUAUAUGAUUUCUCCAAGUUAUUAGAUUAGCCAAGGUUCACCGUGAAAAGUUUACUCAAACGUCGAGACGCUUCUUUUUUUAAAUUAUCCUUAGGCAAAUUCUAGUCUUUUAACAGUCAACCUAAAUGUUUGAAUUAUCUGAGAGUAUUAACUUAAGUCUCAUUUGCGUGCAGUUGUGACAUAAAGAUCCCGCACUGGCACCUAAGUUUUGGCUUGGAGAAAAGCUAUUGAAACCUUUAAAAGAGUCAGUAAAUUAAAGAAUUACCUGUCCAACUUGACAGCACAAUGCACGUGAAAAUCAAACACUUGGACAUAUUUGAACUUUGUGUUGAAGAAACUACAGUCGAAUCUCAACCGAUCGACCACGCAUUCAUAGAUCUGAAUCGUGACAACGUUGCCACUGUAUGUGACGUCAUAGCUCGACCUUACCCGAAAUGUACACGAAAAGAGCAUAACGUGAUAUAUUUUUAAAGUUACCAUGCUCUUUUUUACUUAAAAAUCGAAAAAGAGUUAUCGUGUACAUUUUCAUGGACUGGUGGUAACAGAGUGUGUCAGCUGGGGAGAAAGGAAAUAUCUGUUCGUUUAUAGGAAUUAACAAGGCAUACAUUUUAUCUUUUUUUCUAAUUUUUGUUUUUUUUUUAGAUUUAUAAAAAAGUUCACUGGCUAUAUAAAGUUAAAACUUUGGAGCUUUCGGCUGUCAGACUACUGUGACAACGAGUUUUUUCCGCUCUGAACUCUAAACUGGGAAAGACGGGCGUUGAGGGGCCUAACUGGCUGGAAACUUGUGUGCUUGACUCUAUGAAAUCAACUUGACUCGGGAAUUAGCUCAGAGCAACUCGCUUGCUGCGGAAGAGGAACUUGUCAUGGGUUCCAAAGUACCGUCGGAUCUGCUACAACUGGAAAUAAGGACACUCAGAGAACUUGAACUUCACGCGUUUAUUGUUCUCUCUUCAACCUCGACGUAAAUCGUAGAUGUAAAUCGUAUUACAAUGAUAGAGCACUACUGCUAGUGAGAAACAAGAUUGCAUCAUCCUAGGUACAAUUGAAAGAAGGCUGAA